GCAUGCUACAAUGGCCGGUACAAAGGGCUGCGAUACCGCGAGGUGGAGCGAAUCCCAGAAAGCCGGUCUCAGUUCGGAUUGGGGUCUGCAACUCGACCCCAUGAAGUCGGAGUCGCUAGUAAUCGCAGAUCAGCAACGCUGCGGUGAAUACGUUCCCGGGCCUU
rnacentral:rRNA from 1 species